AUGGGGCGGUCGCCGUGCUGCAACGGGGAGGCGGGCGUGAAGAAGGGCCCGUGGACGCCCGAGGAGGACAAGCUGCUGGUGGACUACAUCCAGGAGAAGGGCCACGGCAGCUGGCGCCGCCUGCCCAAGCUCGCCGGCCUUAACCGCUGUGGCAAGAGCUGCCGCCUCCGCUGGACUAACUACCUCCGCCCCGACAUCAAGCGCGGACGCUUCACCGACGACGAGGAGAAGCUCAUCAUCCACCUCCACUCCCUCCUCGGCAACAAGUGGUCGUCGAUUGCUACGAAGCUGCCAGGGAGGACGGACAACGAGAUCAAGAACUACUGGAACACACACCUGCGCAAGAAGCUCCUCGGCAUGGGCAUCGACCCCGUCACGCACCGCCCGCGCACCGACCUCAGCCUGCUCGCCGGGCUCCCGGGCCUCCUCGCGGCAGCCAGUAACUUCGGCGGCUCCGGUGUGGCCACGGCCGCCUGGGACAUUAACGCGCUCAAGCUCCAGGUGGACGCCGCCAAGUUCCAGCUGCUACAGGGACUCGUGCGCGCGCUCACCACCGCGGCGGGUCCCGCGCCCGCGCCGGGCAUGGACAACCUCAUGGCGCUCCUCGCCCUCAGCAACGGCGGGCUACACGGCGGAACCGACCAGAACAUGCUCCAGCAGUGCCAGUGGAACGAGAUGAACAACCUGCCGGCGCUGACCAGCUCAGCGCCAACGAGCGGCAUGCACAACAUCAGCGGCAUGUUGGACGGCUUCAGCGCCGGCGACGGGCUGAGCUCAACGGAGCUUGGGGACCACGACGGGGCGAGCGGGAGCAACGUGACCAUUUAUCCAAUGGUAGCCGACGACCAGGAGUGCAAGAACAAUGGCGGCGGCGGCAUGUCGUGCGAGCAGACGCCGGCGUCGAGCCCUUUCGACGGGCUAGAGAGCCUGAACCUGAUGGACGACCUCAACACGGAUGGUGGUUGGAAGGAUUUGCUAGAGCAAAUUUCAUGGCUGAAUUCAAGUGAGCUGUGA
rnacentral:rRNA from 1 species